rnacentral:rRNA from 1 species
AACGUAGGGGGCUAGCGUUGUCCGGAAUUACUGGGCGUAAAGAGCGCGUAGGCGGUCUAUUAAGCGGAGGGUGAAAUUUCGAGGCUCAACUUCGAAACUGCUUUCCGAACUGGUAGACUCGAGUACGGGAGAGGGAAGUGGAAUUCCUGGUGUAGCGGUGGAAUGCGUAAAUAUCAGGAGGAACACCGGUGGCGAAGGCUGCUUCCUGGAACGUAACUGACGCUGAGGCGCGAAAGCUAGGGGAGCGAACGGGAUUAGAUACCCCGGUAGUCCUAGCCGUAAACGAUGGACACUAGGUGUUGGAGGAUCGACCCCUUCAGUGCUGUUCUGCUAACGCGUUAAGUGUCCCGCCUGGGGAGUACGGUCGCAAGACUAAA